AGCUAUCGUACAGAGUCUUCAGAGAGGAUCUCCCUGCCUGGGUGUCUCCUUUAAAGAGUGGCCCAGCUGUGGACACACGAGAAGCUCUCGAAUAAACCUAAAGCAUCCUCUGCAGCUCCAACAAACCACCCUUCAGUGUACGUAACUUCCUGGCCAAAUGUUCAGCUUCCUCUCUGGUGUCUGUGCGGCCCCCCCGCAGCAAGUUCUCACUAUGCACUGACAGCUCUGAGAGGGCCAGCACCUUCUCUUCAAUCUCCAGCAGCAUGUUCUGCAGGAGUAGAAGGAGAGAGGCCAGGUCAAACAUCGUGUCUCACCACCUACAGGAGCUCCUCCUUCUACACAACAGACCCUCCAGACAUGCUCUCACUCAACUUCCAAACCACUUCUCCAUUCUAAGUCCAGACCAGCUGUUGUUAUGCCCAUCAGUUUAAGUUGAAAGAGGGAUGUUACAGCACUGCGCAUUUUGGCCAACCACCGGUCCAGUUCAUCUGCCUGGGUGUGAUACAGCUGUACGACCUGUUCCUGAAGCUGACCCUCCAGGCGGUCACUGACACGUUCCUAGAGGAUGCCACA